UCCCCCAUCCCUUGACGCCAGUCCCACCCCCCCCGCCACCCAACCCCGGCAGCCUUCCUUCCGGCCACAUCUGCUCCCCACUGCUGAAGUUCAAGAGUCAGGGGUCAGCGACAGACCAGCACCCCCUGCAGCUGACAGCGACACGGCGUUUUCUUGUGGGAGCUUUUCGGGCGGGCACAUGCUUGUCAACAUGGAGGUCAUGGGGCGGAAAAUAUAGUCCGCCUGACCCUGGUGGGGUCACGCGUUUCCAGGCUAUGAGCCCUCAAGUGUCCCUGCGAAUCAUCAGCAAAGUGACGCUGAUGGGUGAUUUACGCCCUUCCCAGGGAAAAGUCAAACCUUGUGUUUUCUGAGCUAUGACCAACGCAAAGAAGACCUUGAUGCCAAACAACUGACAGGCAGCUCAGAUCAUCUGCCAACCUGGCCACGAUGGAGACGGUGGAGGCGGUGGACUGUUUGAAGCUUCUUCUGCUGAAGUCAUUAGCUGCUUUCUCAAUGAGAAUACUUCCAGCAC